rnacentral:misc_RNA from 1 species
GGGCACAGUAUUUUCAUUUGAAGGAGAGGCGGAGUACGAGAAAGUAUUGAGCUUGUAGAGGGUUAGACGGGAUAUUGCUUAUAAUGGCUUUCAAGCCAUCGGAUUGGUAUUGCCAGCCAGUGGCAAAUGGUGUGUGGUCAAAGGCUGUGGAAAAUGCCUUUGGAGCUUAUACCCCAUGUGGAACAAACACCCUGGUUAUAUCUGUUUCUUAUCUAGUCCUUUUGGCCUUGUGCUUAAACA